UACGAAGGGGGCGAGCGUUGUUCGGAAUUACUGGGCGUAAAGGGCGCGUAGGCGGCCGAUCAAGUUAGAUGUGAAAGUCCUGGGCUUAACCUGGGGACUGCAUUUGAUACUGAUUGGCUUGAAUUCGGGAGAGGAUAGCGGAAUUCCCAGUGUAGAGGUGAAAUUCGUAGAUAUUGGGAAGAACACCGGUGGCGAAGGCGGCUUGCCAGAAUGCGCUCGACGGUGAGGGAUGAAAGCUGGGGGAGCAAACCGG
rnacentral:rRNA from 1 species